rnacentral:rRNA from 1 species
ACGGGAGGCAGCAGUGGGGAAUAUUGGGCAAUGGGGGAAACCCUGACCCAGCAACGCCGCGUGAAGGAAGAAGGCUUUCGGGUUGUAAACUUCUUUUACCAGGGACGAAGGACGUGACGGUACCUGGAGAAAAAGCCACGGCUAACUACGUGCCAGCAGCCGCGGUAAUACGUAGGUAGCGAGCGUUGCCCGGAAUUACUGGGUGUAAAGGGAGUGUAGGCGGGUUAUCAAGUCCGUUGUUAAAUCUCACGGCUCAACCGUGAGCUGCGGCGGAAACUGAUGAUCUUGAGUGAGGUAGAGGCAAGCGGAAUUCCACGUGUAGCGGUGAAAUGCGUAGAGAUGUGGAAGAACACCAGUGGCGAAGGCGGCUUGCUGGGCCUUAACUGACGCUGAGGCUCGAAAGUGUGGGGAGCAAACAGGAUUAGAUACCCUGGUA